UACGUAGGUGACAAGCGUUAUCCGGAAUUACUGGGCGUAAAGCGCACGUAGGCGGCGCGGUAAGUCUGAUGUGAAAUCUCCCGGCUUAACUGGGAGGGGUCAUUGGAAACUGCCGAGCUUGAGGCGAUGAGAGGGGUGUAGAAUUCCCGGUGUAGUGGUGGAAUGCGUAGAUAUCGGGAGGAAUACCAGUGGCGAAAGCGGCACCCUGGCAUUAGCCUGACGCUCAUGUGCGAAGGCGUGGGGAGCGAACGGG
rnacentral:rRNA from 1 species